rfam:Triticum aestivum genome assembly, contig: Triticum_aestivum_CS42_TGACv1_scaffold_198227_3AL
UAAGUACUUCCUCCGUCCCCAAUUACUCGUCGUUGAAAUUGAUGUAUCUAGAACUAAAAUACAUCUCGAUACAUCCAUACGUGCGACAAGUAAUUAGGGACGGAGUGAGUACAAC